rnacentral:rRNA from 1 species
UACGUAGGCAGCAAGCGUUGUUCGGAAUUACUGGGCGUAAAGCGUGCGCAGGCGGUCUGUUAAGACCGAUGUGAAAUCCCCGGGCUUAACCUGGGAACUGCAUUGGUGACUGGCAGGCUUUGAGUGUGGCAGAGGGAGGUAGAAUUCCACGGUGUAGCAGUGAAAUGCGUAGAGAUGUGGAGGAAUACCGAUGGCGAAGGCAGCCUCCUGGGCCAACACUGACGCUCGAUGCACGAAAGCGUGGGGAGCAAACAGG